UAUGUGAUCGUCUCUCGCAUAUCAAUAAGCGGAGGAAAAGAAACUAACAAGGAUUCCCCUAGUAACGGCGAGUGAAGCGGGAAGAGCUCAAAUUUGAAAUCUUAAAGGGUUUCCCUUUACGAAUUGUAGUUUAAAGAAGUGUUUUCUGUUGAGGUUUUGGUAAAAGUUCUUUGGAAUAGGACAUCAUAGAGGGUGAGAAUCCCGUAUUUGACCUUUACUUUCAACUUUGUGAUACACUUUCAAAGAGUCGGAUUGUUUGGGAAUGCAGUCCAAAAUGGGUGGUAAAUUUCAUCUAAAGCUAAAUAUUGGCGAGAGACCGAUAGCGAACAAGUACCGUGAGGGAAAGAUGAAAAGAACUUUGAAAAGAGAGUUAAACAGUACGUGAAAUUGUCAAAAGGGAAGCGUUUGACACCAGUGUUGUUUUUCUGAAAAUCAAUUAAAGAACUGUUUAUGCUAAGUUGUUUAGACUUUAUCAGCUAACUGUUUAGUUUUGAGCUUUUCUUUAAUGCACUUUUCAGUUAACAAGUCAACAUCAAUUUCCUUUGCUGUAAAAAAGCUUGAGGAAGGUGGCUUGAGAUUCGUCUUAAGUGUUUAUAGCCUCUUGCCUAUGCAGUCGGAGAGAUUGAGGUCUGCAGCGUAGAUCCUUCGGGGCUAAAUGCAUUUGUGCUAAGUUAUAACAUUUUAUAGACAACUUGUUGACUAUGAUUUGUCUUGUAGCUUACUCGCUUAUGUUAUUUUACCUACGCUUAGGAUGUUGAGUCAUCGUAUCGCGC
rnacentral:rRNA from 1 species